UCUGUAAAGAUAAAAUUUAAGAAUUUAAUAAGAACAAGCAUUAGACGAUAUAAAACAAUGUGAUUGAGUUUAUAGAAAGAAGAAGAAGAAGAAUGAAGAAAGGAAGAAAAACGAAGAAGAAGAAAAAACAUUUUUGAAAAAAAAAUCAAUAAAAAAAACUAUUUAAUCAACAUUUAAAUGAAACGACACAACGACGACGAUGUUGAUGGUCUCAUCUCUUAUUCUUCGCACAGAGCGCAACAACUGGGAAACAAACAAAAACGAUGACAACAAAAACAACAAGGCAAAUAAAUUAACUAAUAAUGAUGAGAAUAACUCUGCUGGCCUUUAAACUUUUCGUUGGCAAUUACACCAUAAUUUGCAAACCCAUUGAACGGUAUUGCGGGCGGCGAGCACAGACACAUUAACUGGAAGUGGGAAUGAUUCAUGGUGUCUAAUUAAAAAAAUAUUAUACAAAGUAGAACAACAAUAUGCUUGGCAUGCAUAUACUAAUAACAACAUACUACUAAAUAAGCAAUGAAUGAGUAUGUCACUUUUAAACAAUGUAUCCAUGCGGAUAAAAAUAUUAUAUAUGGUCUAGCCAGCCGUUUGCUCAAAUAUCCCAAAAAUAAAAUUUCUUUAUCUUCCACAAUCACUUAAAAAUGUAUUUCAUACUUUUUUUG
rnacentral:lncRNA from 1 species